CAAUAGCGUAUAUUAAAGUUGUUGCAGUUAGAACGCUCGUAGUCGGAUUUCGGGGCGGGCCGACCGGUCUGCCGAUGGGUACGCACUGGUCGGCGCGUCCUUCCUUCCGGAGACCGUCCCUACUCUUAACUGAGCGGGGGCGGGAGACGGAACGUUUACUUUGAAAAAAUCAGAGUGUUUCAAGCAGGCAGCUCGCUCUUGCAUGGAUUAGCAUGGGAUAAUGAAAUAGGACUUUGGUGCUAUUUUGUUGGUUUCGAACACCGAAGUAAUGAUGAGAAGGGACAGUCAGGGGCACUCGUAUUCCGCCGAGAGAGGUGAAAUUCUCAGACCAGCGGAAGACGAACCACUGCGAAAGCAUUUGCCAGGGAUGUUUNCACUGA
rnacentral:rRNA from 1 species